CCCGCCGCGUGGCUUCUCACCAAGAGCGGCACGGCUGCGCCCAGAACCGUCUCCUUAUGAAGUCGUUGAAGUCGGAGGCCAGGGUCGUGCCAUGGAGACGCCGCGGCGGAUGCAGUCCGGCUCCCGCGGCGGCUCCUCCCCGCUUCCGCCUCCUUUUCCGACAACCGGUCGGCAGCUCGCCCAUUGGCCAGUUCAAACCCCCCCCGGAGCCUCUCGGGUUUCGCCAUUUAGGCCCAGCCCCCAGCGUCACAGAGAUGCCCCGCCCCGUGAGCGGACGCUCCGCCCACUUCCGGGUCACGAGGCCGGCCCACCGCCCGGUUGUCAGGGAGACACGCGACGCCUCCCGCGCAGGCCAGCCUUGUCUUGCCCCACCGUUCAGGCCACCGCGUCCCCUCCGCCAUUUUGCCCUGGUCCUCCCGACUCCCGAGCCCUAACGCGCUCCCCUCGAAACACAGUAGGAAGCUGGACGCAUGGGGAGCCUGAACGAGCGACAGGCUGGGGCUGCUGGAAAGCCAUCCCUCGGCCUAGUCCGCUCAGUGCAGAGAAUUGUGCACACUAUCCAGACUGUGCCCCUCUCCCACACGGCCCAAACAGGAGGAAGAGGCCGCACUCCCCACGCCCCUGCCGCCCUCCCGCACACCGUACGCCGCUUCUAUACGGACCUACUCUGCUGAGGUUCUCUCUGCUGAGCCGCCAUCUCUCAACUAUGCUUCCCUGUUAGCCAAUCGUGGGGGACUGUCACGAGGCUCACGUUCCCGCCCUGGAUUCUGGGAGACUUUUAACAACCUCAGGGCCGGUAAUCUCAAGAAUGAAGCAGGAAGAUGGAUGCCAUGAGUUGAAGGCCAGUCUGGAUGCCUCGGUCCUAGCCUACCAUCCUGAAGUUCCGCAAGAGCAAACAGCUGGGGAUAGGGACUCCGAGUUAGAGCCCUUGCAAGACCUGAGCAAAACUCUAGAUUCAAUUUACAGUACCACAUACAUUUUAUAAUCUCCACGAAUAAUUGUUUCCACGCUGUCCAGCAAUUGUUCUCUCUAGACAAUUACCACCAGUGGCUUUUCCAAAUUUUUGUCUCUUCUGUAUUCCAUACAUCAAGCUCCCUAUUUCAUAGAGGAAAUUCUACAAAAUGAAAUUCCCUUAACAUCUACAUGCUUUCCCAUCCUUAACUGCCCUUCUGUUCUGCCUUCAGGUGUAUAUGUGCUUCUUGCUGCCUAAGAUAACCUCCUGCUUCAAGGUCCAAGUCAAACAUAUCGAAAGUGUCUCCUUUGUAAACAUGAUGGUACUCACCUAUAAUCUCAGAAAUCAGGAGGCUGAGGCAAGUCGAUUUGCCCAGGAGUUUGGGGCCAGCGUGGUCUAUAUAGCAAGGCCUCCUUACGAUUUAAUUAAAAUAAUGAAAUGUCCUUUUGCUACCUCCAAA